AUUACUCCUACACUUACCUAUCAAAUGACGAAUUUUUCCUUUUUUUUUUUUGAUGAACAAAAAAUGAGGUGGAACAAAUAAAUGUCUCAUGGUGAAAGAUGAGUAUUUGAAGGAAAGCAGAUAUAUUUUAUAAUAGCAAAUCAUUAUAAUUAACUUUUCUUUUUACUCCUGUUCCUAGUUCUUGUAACAUUUUAUAAUUCUAACAUUAAUACAUUUAGUAUACACUGACUUUGUCUUAUACAGAAAAUGUUAUUGGUUACUCUAUAUUCCAUAAAGUCAAUGUUUACAUUCUGAUAUCUUCCUUGAACACAUUUAUGAAUAGCUCUAUCACUAAUAAGCCAUACUCUUCAAUUACCCCUAUAUGUAAUUGUGUUCUAUGCUAUAACUUUUUCUUGAUUAACUUUAUAGAAACUACAUCUUCAAUGAGAUAACUUAAUAUAAUUAUUUUUAUUAAAAUUGGAGUAUGGAUUUAAAAAAAAUUGUGCUUAAAAUUUGUAUAUAUAGUUAACGUGGUAAAACUAUUACUUAUUGAGGCAUAGAACUUCACCUUUUUGCAUUUCAGUUCGCUUUCUGCAGAAACUGAAAAUCUUUUUUUAUUUUUGCUACCGGGCUUCAGAGCCAGUGGGGAGAAAUCACAAGUGGUUUUCUCUUGGCCUUUCAGCCUUCUAGGGGACCUUGCCUCCGCUACAGAAAACUGCAAUGGCCAGAUACUGGAGGUUAAGAGAUUCUAGAACACGAAACAUUUAUAGAAGAUUCAAGCCUCGAGAUGGUUGUAGCCCUGGGAACUCCUGGAGGGAGACAAUUCCACAUGCAUUUAUCAGAUCCUCAGGUGACAUGCAAGGGCCCAAGAUAAAGUCACACACAGGUAAGCUACUUGGUGGAUGUAUGUUACCCACACCAGGAAGUCUGUUGUCCUUGCAGGCUAUGAAACCUUUGCCUUCUGACUUCUGCAGUGGCAAGCCACGGUACAAUAGCAGGCGUGCCAUCUCUGCCCUCUCUAAGACCUACUGUGCUUGGGUCAAACAGCAGGAAGAGGUAGGUAGUCUUCCCUGAGCAGUUCUCUGGGCAGAAAAUGAGUGCUAAGGAGAUGGUUUUGUCUUGUCCAAUGCGUGACCAUGAAGCAAGGGGACUGGUUUUCAGGUGUGUGGCAGAUGGAUAAGGGACUCGGCAGGCACUGAAGUGGAGUCUGUGUUCAUUUUAGGACUCUACUUUGCUGUUGCCUGUUUGCUUUCUUUUGAGUAUCUCCUGAAGACGGGAGAUAAUUUAGCUUCCCUCCAAUAAUGAUGCCGGCAUUAAUCCUAGGAGGAAAACUCAUUUCCAAAGUAAAUUGGUUUGCUAUAGCAAAUGUACCAGGGCAGAAAGUUGCUCUUGUCCUUUGGAAAGGAUCAGUGAUCCCAAGGUUUACUCUGAUACCAGUUGUUAGGGCCACUCUUAAUUUUUUAUGACAUUCAUUAUAUUCUAAAGCUUUUUUCAUGAAGUAAAUGCAAUAUGACCUGCUGGAAACCACAAAGACAAAAACCGAUCUGAAAAUUUCUCCACUUCCCUUGUCUCUACCUUCUGCUUGGGAGCUGUUAUUGUCCCACCUCUGAGCAGGACCUGCUCUUGCUAUGGGCCUUCCCAGGAUAGGUGAGAAACUGAAGUCUGCCUAUGAGAAGAUGUCAUCCAUUCCAUCGCUAGGUCCUUCUUCAGCCCUAGUCUCUUUCUAGCCUUCUCUCCCUUGCUAGCAUUUUGAUUGGUGACCUCCACCUCCCAUUCACUCCCUUUCUCACCUCCCACCCUUCAGACAUUCCUCAUCUGGUCACUUUGUGUUCCCUUGGUGUCAGCACUGGGCUCUAAGGUGCAAGAGCAUCGUAUGCCCCAAACAUCUGGUCUCAGAAAGCUCUGUUGAGGGCUAGAGGCUUGAGAAACUGUCAGAAUUCAC
rnacentral:lncRNA from 1 species